UUCAUGGAGAGUUUGAUCCUGGCUCAGGACGAACGCUGGCGGCGUGCCUAAUACAUGCAAGUCGAGCGGACAGAUGGGAGCUUGCUCCCUGAUGUUAGCGGCGGACGGGUGAGUAACACGUGGGUAACCUGCCUGUAAGACUGGGAUAACUCCGGGAAACCGGGGCUAAUACCGGAUGCUUGAUUGAACCGCAUGGUUCAAUUAUAAAAGGUGGCUU
rnacentral:rRNA from 1 species